rnacentral:sRNA from 1 species
UUUUAGCCCCGAUUGAAGCAAUUGUUUGAGCUCUUUUUUAUUUUUCUUUUUAAAAAAUAAAAAAAGCGAGUGCGGAAAGCGGGAUUAGCU